GGUUGGGUAGCUCAGUUGGUAGAGCACACUUGCCCGUGAAAGCAAAGGUCCUGAGUUCGAAUCUCGGCCCAACACA